UGGGCCCCAAGUUAUAGCCGGGCCAAGGGGCGGGCGCGCCCGGGCUCCACCCCUAGCUCCUGACUGACGUCGCACCGGCCCACUCAGGCGCCACGCUCCGGUCUCUCCCGGCGGGACCGAACCUCCGGACGCCGGUAUCUCCGCCUCUUUCGCACCUGGGUGAGCAGUGGCUCGCGCCGUGCGGGUUCCUGGAGGCGCGGCGGCCUGUGGGGGUGGGCAGCGGAGAGCGGCCGGAAGUGCGAGCUGCUGGUCGCGGUCUCAGUCGUGCCGACGUCCCAGAAAAGCAAUAAAAGCAUUUGCAUCUAAAAGCAAAACUGAAGUUUCAGAGAUGGAUGAAGAUAGUUCGGGAUGAAGACAGGAUCCAAAGAUGAUUUUGGACCGAAUUACAUAAUUGAAGAGUGAACCAGGUGUGUCAGGCUGCGGUGCCUCUGUUCUGACAUUGGAAAUACUUGGGAGGAUGAGUGCAAGAAGCACUGGCUUAAGAUCCAGGCAAGAAUCAGCGCUGAACUUGCUUCUCCCUGAAGGCUGACUUGUCUUCCAGGCUUGUGUCCUUAUUAAGUCAACUUCUAUGACAGAAUAUUCUAUGAGGUUCUGUAGAGGAUGUGGAUGUAUGUGUGACAAGUGAACACCUUAGGAGUUCAGUGGGACCACAUUUGGAUUUGGAUGACGCAAAGAGUCAGAAAGCUUUGAAGAAAUAUGAUGCCAUGUUGUGAGAGGACCUCUGGAGACGGCCACAUGGCAAGGAACUGCAGGUGGCCUGUAGAGCUGAGAGCAUCCCUCGGCCACAGCCAGCAAGAAGACAGGGACUUCAGCCCUACAACUAAGGGAUGAAUUCUGCCAACAACCUGAGGGAGCUUGGAAGGGGAUCUUUCCCCAGUUGAGCUUCCAGAUGAAAACACAGCCUGACCGACACCUUGACUGCAACCUUGUGAGACCCUAAGCAGAGGACCCAGUUAGACUGGUGACUCAAGAAAACUGAGAUAAUAAAUGUGUGUUGUUUUAAGCCUCUAGGUUUGGAAUAAUUUGU